UGCGUAUGUAAGAAGCUUUGAAGGCCCAUGUAGUUGAUUCAAUCCAGAGCUAACCAUAGGUCAAGCUUGGAUAACAAUACCAAGAGUAAUUCUGAUAUAGAAAAAAUAUUUUGUCCCACCUGAUUGGGCUACGUAACCAUCAUUUUCUAAUACAUAUUUAAUAUCUACAAUUUUAUUUUUUAUUUAAAAUUUUAAAAGACGAAAAUAUCUUUUUUCUUCUUCUUAAAAAAUUACAACAUC
rnacentral:lncRNA from 1 species